UACGUAGGGGGCAAGCGUUGUCCGGAAUCAUUGGGCGUAAAGAGCGUGUAGGCGGCCCGAUAAGUCCGCCGUGAAAGUCCAGGGCUCAACCCUGGAAUGCCGGUGGAAACUGUCGGGCUGGAGUCCGGAAGAGGCGAGUGGAAUUCCUGGUGUAGCGGUGAAAUGCGCAGAUAUCAGGAGGAACACCAAUGGCGAAGGCAGCUCGCUGGGACGUGACUGACGCUGAGACGCGAAAGCGUGGGGAGCAAACAGG
rnacentral:rRNA from 1 species